AAAUUUUUGUCAGAAUCGUUAAACAUGUCAUAUUCAUACGGCACCCUUAAAAUGCGUUUCCAGGGGACUGUUUGAAAUCAUUUGGGGUUCAUUGCAGGAGCAGCUUGAACUUACACUGAACUGGCGCACAUUAGCAUAAGAUCUAAAUGGCAUAUUUUGGCUGGGGGAGAACUCUUUGCCACUAAUUGUGGUUUGCAGCUGUUUGGUGUGCUGUGAAGUAUAGCUUUAUGUUUUGCUUUUAAAUGGACACUGGCGUGGCUGUGGAUUCAAGGGAGCUGCAGAGAGGCAUGGUCACAACUGUCACCACCAGUGGUUGUGGACAGUAGCUCCAGUUUCCGAAGCCACAACUUCUAGGCUAAACCUGGAUGCAGCUGAAAUGCAAAGGAAUUGUUCACAAGCGCCUGCGGAGAACCACUCAUUGGUAGAAGCUGUUGCUAGCGAAGUGCAUCAAGACGGUGCUGAUGGCACGCACGACAGCACGCACAACAAUGGGGCAGAAUUCGCCGCUACUCCUGAGG